GCUCUAGAGCGCGCGCCGCCCGGCUGCUCCUCCUCCUCCAGCUCCGGGCCUCGCCCGCCUCGCCCGGUUUCCUUCUAGAACCAGCUUCCAAACUGGCUUGCUGGGAUGGGUCGGUCAGGUCUCCGCCGCCUCUUUCUCAGGAAACGUAUUCACAGCUGCUCAAUGAUGGAGGGGCUGCAGGUAUAUGGGGAGAGGGGCUGCCUGAGACAGAUGAAUAUUGACAGCAAGAGCACACUUACAGUCUUGGGGACCUGAGGAAAUCCCUCUCUGGGUAAGUAGCCUGGCAGAAGCACAGAAUUCUAAAUGUUUCCUCAGGAAGGUAUAUUCAUGGUGCUGAAGCCCAGAGUUGGAGAAAUCUGGACAUGUUCAGAUGUAGAGGAGCUCUCUAGGGAGGCCAGGGCCUUGAGAGUUCGCCAAAGGUGGCAUACAGGUGUUGGCCCAGAAGUGCCUCCUGGAUCAUCCCGCAGAGCCUCUCUCUGUAGUACAUAUACAAGAAUAACAAUAAUAAUAAUGAUUAGCAAGUAUUUGCAGAGUUAGGACAUUUGUAAUCCUAAUAUUUAGAAUUUAGAAAAUAGGAAGAUCGGGCUGGAGAGAUGGCUAAGCAGUUAAGAGCACUGACUGCUCUUCCAGAGGUCCCUGAGUUCAAUUCCCAGCACCCACAUGGUGGCUCACAGCCAUCUGUAAUGAGAUCCAAUGCUCUCCUCUGGUGUGUCUGACAGCUAAACUGUACUCAUACAAAUUUAAAAAAGAAAGAAAAUAGGGCAAUCAGGAGUUUAUCUGUCUGACUAAGGGGGAACUUGUACACAAGGUUGGACUGUGUGCUGUAGAGGCAAGCCCUGCUUGCUGACUGAGGCAGGGAGGAUGGGUUAUAGGCACCCAGGCAAAGGAGGUCUGUCAGCAGCAAGGAUCAGAAAUGUUCACAAAAUGGUCAUAAGGAAUAGAUUGGUUUUGGUGAGAACAUUCUUGAGGAGAAAGAAGUCAAAGCUUGCAUUCUAAAUCCUUCUGUUCUGUGUACAUUGGUCUUUUGCCUGCACAUAUGUCUGGGUGAAGGUGUCAGAUCUUGGAGUUACAAACAGUUGUGAGCUGCCAGGUGGGUGCUAGAAGAGUAGUCGGUGUUCCUAACCAUUGAGCCAUCUCUCCAGCCCCCUAAACUCUUUUUUUAUUUGUUUGAGACACGGAGGGUCUUUUGCAGGGCAGGCUGUCCUUGAGCUCAGUCGGAAGCAGAGGAUGGCUUUGAACUCCUGAUCUUCCUGCUUUCCAUACUCUAAAUACUGGGAUUACAAAUUCCCUUGCUCUGUAAACACUUGUAAUGAUUGUUGUUGGUAUUCUUGUGUGUGUAUUUGUUGUAUGUUGAUGUGUAUGCAUUUGCAUGCAGGUGGCAGACAGAGAACAGUUUGUGAAGUCUGUUUCUCUCUCUCUACCUCUACAUGGGCUGGAGGAUCAAGCUCAGGUCCUCAGGCUUGCACAGCCAAGACUUUGCCCAUUGAAUCAUUUCAGCUGCCCCAUCUUUAAAUGACUCGGUUUCAAUGAUAGCCAAGGCAGCCUCUCUCCCCUCCCUGGACCCCUUCUAUAUUUGCAAACCUCAGUAACUUGUCCAAGUUCUGGUUUCCUCCUUCCUCCCUCCCCCUCUAGUGUUCUUUCCCCAUUCCAGGCUAUCAGAAGAGAGGGAUGGUAGAUGUGUCUCGGGCUUCCCAGCAGGAAGGACUAGGUCAGAGGCUCCUGCUGAACAGAACACACAGAACUGGCCCUUCAGGUAAGGAUCCUGGCUGGUAUGUGGAGCCGAGGGACUGGAGUGGAGGGAGAGAACCUGUUUCUGACCUUUGAAGAGAGAUGUCAUUCAGGGAAUCGAGGGAAGGUCAGGAAGCAGGCUACCUGUCCCAUCCUUUGCACAGGCUAGAGACUCCACAGACUGCUAAAACCCUGGGGAGGAUCUGGCUUGACAGAUACUGCCUGGCUUUUGAACCUUGGGACUGUUAACUCUUGUUACCUUGAUGGCAAGGCAAAUGGGACCAGGCGACUCUGUAGAGAAGUAGGGUGAGACAUAGUCCCCUACCCCUAGCCUCCUUAUGCCUUCCUCUGCGUUUUCAAGGCAUGAGACUCUUGGGUGUCCUGGGCUCAGCUUUCUCUGACGAAAAAGGCUGGAAUAUCCAGAGGGGGCACAUGAUCAUCCCUAAGUACACCUCAGAGCUAGAGGGCCUGAAAGGAUCUGCCUUUCUGAGGUAGAGAGAAGGUGGGCUGGACGGGGUAGGGGAUCAGAGGCCAUCAGGAGGCCGCUUUCCUCCCACCGCAGGCUUGUCUCACAGCAUGAAAGAGACUAGAUGCAUGUGGACAGGGAGGGGAUGUACCCAUGAACUGUCCAUGUAUUGAGUUCAUCAUGCAUGCGCUUACACAUAUGUGAGUAUCUUGUCCCCACAUCUGACAAACCUAUGGAUCUGGCAUGCCGGCCAUGUUGUUCAGAUGCCAAGGAGUGAGGCACUUGGGGCACCAGGCCAGGGCUGAAGUAAAACCAGAUUCCCUGGGUGUACCUAUUUCCCGAAUCGGCUAGCCUGGGACAAUUUAACUUCCUUCAGUUAUCUGCUGCCUGCAAGUGCCCAAGACAGUAAGGGUCCUAGGGCUACCCAUGCUGAGUAGGAACUCAUCCCAUCUAUGGCUGCCACCCCUGCUCUCGUCUCCUCUCUUCUUGACAGUUGCAACAGCCUUCCUAGGCUCCUCUCCAAUCUGCCCGAGAGGAGCCUUCUAGCCCACACAUUUUGUCUCCAGCUCUCCGAAGCCUGUGUCGCAGUCUCAGCCCAAGACUGGCCCUGCCACCAGGCUUAGGCACAGCUGCUGCCCGCAUCCUAGGGGCUGUUUCAGUCUCUUCCUCGUAACUGGCUGGUUUUGGGGGUGACCCACCAUCUUCAAAGUCCAUCUUCCCACCCUCAACAUAAAAAUGAUCACAACGUCGCCACUCUUGGCCUCUUCCUUGGCUCUUUCACCACACACACCCUCAUCACUGGGUCACUUGUCCUGUCUUGUCACUUCCAGAAAAUAACCUGCCCUGAGCACAUAGGUGCCCAGUACAGAAUCUUCCGAGGUCUUGAAGGAGUUUGGGAAAUGCCAUCCCGACAUAUUACAGCUGACUGUGCUGGCUCCUUUGAACAGAGGCCUGGGGAACAGCAAGCAGGAGAGCCUUUAUCCAGUGAACCAUCUGGACAGCCCUAUUUUUAGUUUUUGACACAGGGUCUUUCUAUCUAGCCCAGAUUGACCUGGAAGUCAUAAUCCUGCCUCUGUUCCUGUAGUGCUGAGAUUACCGAUCCGGUGUGCACCACCACGUCUAGCUUCUGUAUAACCAAGACAACAUUUUUUUUUAAAUUUAUUUUAUGUAUGUGAGAGUACACUGUCACUCUCUUCAGACACACCAGGGCAUCAGAUCUCAUUACAGAUGGUUGUGAGCCACCAUGUGGUUGCUGGGAAUUGAACUCAGGACCUCUGGAAGAACAAGCACUGAGCCAUUUCUCCAGCACCCCCAAGACAACAUUUAAUCACUAUAGAGCUCCUCCAUUCACCGUCCCAAAAUGUGUGGCCUGUCCAUCCUUCCAUCCCGGGAGCCCAGAGCCCAUAUUCUGUUCUAGAGCACCAAUUGUUUUGUAAUGAAACACAGGUUUUCCCGUUUGUGCAUUUGUUUGUUUUGAGGUAGAGUGCCUCCACAUAGCCCUGGCUGUCCUGGACAUCACUAUGUAGACAAGGUUGGCCUCGAACUCAUAGAGAUUCAUCUACCUCUGCCUCCCUAGUGUCGAGACUAAAGGUUUGCACAACCACACCUGGCAGUGUUUCUUCUUUUUUGAGCUGGAGGUCUUGUGCAUCAGAGAAUGCAUGUAAACAUCCUUUGUGGCUAACAGAAGACCUUGAACUUCUGAUCCUUCCGCCACUACCUCUUGAGUGCAGGGACUAAAGAGCUUUGCCACCAUGCCCAGCCUUGGUACUAGAGAUUGAAUCCAGAGCCUUGGCAAGCACUCUACUAAGCUACACCUCCAGUUUCCUCCUGUGGAAAAGAAACGCUGUGGGGGAGGGAAUAGGGAGUUUGUGGAGGGGAAAAUAGGAAAGGGGAUAACAUUUGAAAUGUAAAUAAAUAAAAUCACCAAUAAAAAAAAAGACAGAAAAUUUAAAAAAGAAAUGUGGUGUCUGUAUGUGUGCCUGGUUGUGUGUAUGUCCUCAUGUCUGUGCAGUACCCAAGUAAGCCAAAAUGUCCUCUGGAGCUGGAGUUACUGGCAGCUCUGGGCUGCCCAAUGCGGGUGCUGGGAACCAAACUCAGAUUCUCUGUAUGAGGAGCCGCAGGUGCUUAAUCGCCGAGCGCCUCUCCAGCCCCUCUUCUCCCCAUUUUAAUCUAACGGUAUCUUUUUUUUUUGGGUUCUUUUUUUCGGAGCUGGGGACCGAACCCAGGGCCUUGCGCUUCCUAGGUAAGCGCUCUACCACUGAGCUAAAUCCCCAGCCCCCAAUCUAACGGUAUCUUAAUUAGUUGACCAACCAAGAACUUUUAGAAGGGCAGAGAGAUCGUUUGUCCUCACUGCAGACUCCUCUGUGACUUGAAAGUUGGCCAUGCUCCUCUCUAACGCACUAUCUGCCCCAAAAGGAACUUCUGGAUGUUUUUUAACCAGGAAGAGGAGAAGGAAGAGAGGUGGUUCUGGCUGUGGACCCUGGUUUUGUAACUGCCUGGUGACCUUUCUGAGCCCCAGACUCUUGGCUUUGUAGAACAGGAUAAUCACUGGCUUAAGUUUGCUCAGGUGCAGGAACCGGUGUGAUGUCCAGGGACUUGACAGCCCUGCAGCCCCCACCCUUCACUCCUCACCCUCCUUCCUCCUCUCUCUUGUCCCUUUGGAGCUGAGUCAACCUUGAGCCUGAUAGAGAAGAUCUGGGCUGUGUUGGAGGCCACUAAGGACCUCAAUCUUUGGGAAGAGCAGGCUGACGGAUAGUGCUUGAUUCUCCAUCUUGCCCAUGGCUGCCCUUUCCCUGGGUCCAGUCCUCUCAUCUUGGCCUGAAAGUAAUCUUGGAUUGUCCUCCCAGUCCACAGAGCUGGAGGAGCGUUCACUUGGCUCCUCCCCUGCAGUCCUUCCUCCCUUGGUGACCUGGUGACCUGGGCAGCCCCAGGCAGCUGUGGGUGGAAGCUGAGACCUGCCCGGACAUGCUCAGGUGCCUGCUAUAGGGCAGGCAGCUCAGACCUGCAGGAGCCAUGCAGGACUCGGUGAGACCCGCCCCUGGAAGUCCAGGCUGCCCAGCUAGGCCACAGGAGAACUGGACCAGCCAGUUCAGGAGGAGUCGCCGGGCUAAAUGGCCACAGAGCUUGGCUCCAGUGCUGCGGAAGCCUGGUCUCCAGGCUCUCAAGGUUUUAAUACCCGGGGUGGGGGUCUGACCUAUAAGGCAGUGUUGGCGCACUCAAUCCUACUGAGCACACUUAAGGUGGCACUUGGUAUUUGAGGUGUGUUUACCUCAGUGUUUUUAAAAGGAAGGGGAAAAUAUCACCUCAAUAAAGUGACCUUGGAUUCUUUCUUUUCCUUCUUUUUUUUUUUUAAAGAUUUAUUUAUUUAUUUCAUGUAUGUGGGUACACUGUCGAUAACUUCACACACACCAGAAGAGGGCAUCGGAUCCCAUUACAGAUGGUUGUGAGCCACCAUGUGGUUGCUGGGAAUUGAACUCAGGACCUCUGGAAGAGCAGUCAGUGCUCUUGACCGCUGAACCAUCUCUCCAGCCCGAACUUGGGUUCUUUUUUUUUUUUUUUUCCUUUUUCUUUUUUUUCAGAGCUGGGGACCGAACCCAGGGCCUUGCGUUUGCUAGGCAAGUGCUCUACCACUGAGCUAAAUCCCCAACCCCACGACGUUGGGUUCUUAUGUGUCAUUCCUGACUACAAGUGAAUUUAGGCCAGCCCGGGCUACGCGAGACCCUACCUUAAAAAACAUAAAACACGUUUUUUUUCUUUGUCGGUGAUGACCUUCAACUAGCAAUCCUAGGCCCAAGCCAUCCUACCUCAGCACCCCAAGUAGCUGUGGGUACAGGUGGGUACUUGUGGUUAUUUAGCCCCCUUUCCUAAGAAUUCAAGCCAGAGCCUCAUAUCUGUUAGACCCCAUACCAAAGUGUACUCCCAGCUUCACCCUCAGCCUUCCUGGGUUGUUUCCGAACAGAUGAUAGUGUUUCACCUAUAAACAUCGUAGGGAAGACAUUUUAAGUUGUACUAAUCGUGCUUUUAUUUGGGGCUUACGGGAAAGUGAGGCCAGGGCUUUACGUAUACUAAGUAUAUUUGCUUGCUCUUAAUUUUUUCUUCUUUUAUUUUCUUGAAGCAGGGUCUCGCCAUAGCCCUGGCUGGUCUGGAACUUGUUAUGUAGCCCCAGCAGGCCUUUAAUUCGCAGAUAUCCGCCCGCCUCUGUCUCCUGAGCAAGGGGAUUGAAUCUGACAUGAAAGCUUUCUGCUGCUGCGCCACACUGACGCGCUACACUGGCGCCCUGCGUUUGUUUUCCUGUGUGACUUUCCACAGGCAUGAGAAAGCAAAGCUGAGGGCUGCCGAUGGGCAGGCGUUCUCUCUGCUUUGCUGUGACACCCUUGGCCAUGGGUGACGGAAGCAGGAAGAACACCUGUUUCUCCCCUCAAAUGAAAUCCAGGGCAAAAAAAAAAAAAAUGUGGAACCCUCCGUCAGCUCCCGCAGGAGAGGGGAACACCAGGCUUGACUGCUGGGUUGCAGUGUCUGAGGUCUCCGCCAUACACUUCUUGCUCCCUUUGCCUCUCUGUGCUCAGGCUGAUGGCCCAGCCCUGAGCACUGCCCUCCAUGGUCUUGGGCUCCACUCUCCACCAAGUACCACAGCCUUUGAAAGUCUUCCAGGCAUCACCUUCUCUCUCUCUCCUGUACAUCUGGUAGGAAGGCAGAAGUUUCUCUGGAGCCCGAUUCUGUUCUGCUUCCCUAACCCAGUAAAUGAUCAGAUGUGUCUGGCACACCGCCCAGUCCCC